AGCAGCGUGGCUUAGUGGAAAGAGCACAGGCAUGGGAGUCACAGGACCUGGGUUCUAAUCCCAGCUCUGCCA
rfam:Ornithorhynchus anatinus chromosome 6, whole genome shotgun sequence.